rnacentral:rRNA from 1 species
CCUACGGGUGGCAGCAGUGAGGAAUAUUGGUCAAUGGGCGAGAGCCUGAACCAGCCAAGUCGCGUGAGUGAGUACUGCCCUAUGGGUUGUAAACCUCUUUUGUCGGGGAGCAAAAGCCGGACGUGUCCUGCUGUGAGAGUACCCGAAGAAAAAGCAUCGGCUAACUCCGUGCCAGCAGCCGCGGUAGUACGGAGGAUGCGAGCGUUAUCCGGAUUUAUUGGGUUUAAAGGGUGCGCAGGCGGAUUUUUAAGUCAGCGGUAAAAUCGUGGGGCUCAACCCCAUCCAGCCGGUGAAACUGGGGAUCUAGAGUGUGCGAGAGGUAUGCGGAAUGCGUGGUGUAGCGGUGAAAUGCAUAGAUAUCACGCAGAACCCCGAUUGCGAAGGCAGCAUACCGGUGCACAACUGACGCUCAGGCACGAAAGCGUGGGUAUCGAACAGGAUUAGAUACCCUUGUAGUC